UACGUAGGUGGCAAGCGUUGUCCGGAUUUAUUGGGCGUAAAGCGAGCGCAGGCGGUUCCUUAAGUCUGAUGUGAAAGCCCACGGCUCAACCGUGGAAGGUCAUUGGAAACUGGGGAACUUGAGUGCAGAAGAGGAGAGUGGAAUUCCAUGUGUAGCGGUGAAAUGCGUAGAUAUAUGGAGGAACACCAGUGGCGAAGGCGACUCUCUGGUCUGUAACUAACGCUGAGGCUCGAAAGCGUGGGGAGGCAAACAGGAUUAGAUA
rnacentral:rRNA from 1 species